UACGUAGGGUGCGAGCGUUGUCCGGAAUUAUUGGGCGUAAAGGGCUCGUAGGCGGUUUGUCGCGUCGGGAGUGAAAACUCAGGGCUUAACCCUGAGCCUGCUUCCGAUACGGGCAGACUAGAGGUAUGCAGGGGGAGAACGGAAUUCCUGGUGUGCGGUGAAAUGCGCAGAUAUCAGGAGGAACACCGGUGGCGAAGGCGGUUCUCUGGGCAUUACCUGACGUGAGGAGCGAAAGCGUGGGGAGCGAACAGG
rnacentral:rRNA from 1 species